rnacentral:lncRNA from 1 species
UGAAUUAAAAAUUUAUAUUCAAAUUUGUAUUCUAUCAAAAAUUUAUUUACUACAGUGAAACUAUUAUUUUGAUGUAUACAAAUAUUCGGUAACAGGUGAAUAAACUUUAUUUUCUGUGAUUGAUGUAAUGAAUUUUUGGAUAGGUCUGAUAAUUAUUCAGUUCUACUGUUGGUGUGAGAAUUAUUUUUUAAAUAAUUUUAUGUUCGAAGUUAAUCCAGAUCAAUUUGUGCUUAUUUGUAGAGGGAGUAGUUUUGUUUGUGCAUUUACGAUCUUGUUUCUCAUUAUUUUUGAGACUAUUGAGAGGAUAAAUAUGAACUGUCACAGAAUAAACAAAAACUAUCCAUAAUAAACAAUAAGUCCUAUGAAAAUAAAUAAUAAGAGAGGAUGAUAAACAACAAGAGAAGAAGAUAAACACAAAGUACUCCAGAAUAAAUACAAACUUCGUAUAAUAAACAAAAAUUAUGAAAAAUAAAUUCAAAUUCUGAAACGAUAAAUAGAAACUAUCCAAGAUAAAUACGAACUUGGAAUUCAAAAGUUGAGUGAUCCAAGGGUCUACUUAGGAUAAAUAACAAGAGGAGAGGAUAAACACUAAAUCUUGUAGAAAUAAAUAUAAACUAUUGAAAGAUAAACACAAACUUCAAAUAAUAAAUAUAAAUAGGUCCAGGAUAAAUACAAACUACCCAGAUUGCUCUCUACCUUUCAUGAACCUAUAGUAGGAUAAACAUAAAGUACUUCAAAAUAGAUACAAAUUUCGUAUAAUAAACAGAAAUUAUGAAUAAUAAACAUAAAUUCUCGAAUGAUAAACAAAAAUUGUCCA